GACGAACGCUGGCGGCGUGCUUAACACAUGCAAGUCGAACGAUGAAGCCUAGCUUGCUAGGUGGAUUAGUGGCGAACGGGUGAGUAAUACGUGAGUGACCUACCUUUGACUCUGGGAUAAGCCUGGGAAACUGGGUCUAAUGCCGGAUACGACCAAUCUCCGCAUGGGGUGUUGGUGGAAAGCGUUAUGGAGUGGUUUUAGAUGGGCUCACGGCCUAUCAGCUUGUUGGUGAGGUAAUGGCUUACCAAGGCGACGACGGGUAGCCGGCCUGAGAGGGUGACCGGCCACACUGGGACUGAGACACGGCCCAGACUCCUACGGGAGGCAGCAGUGGGGAAUAUUGCACAAUGGGCGCAAGCCUGAUGCAGCGACGCCGCGUGAGGGAUGACGGCCUUCGGGUUGUAAACCUCUGUUAGCAUCGAAGAAGCGAAAGUGACGGUAGGUGCAGAGAAAGCGCCGGCUAACUACGUG
rnacentral:rRNA from 1 species